rnacentral:lncRNA from 12 species
AUGAGAUGCAGCUCCUGCAGUGUUGUGGCCCCUGAGGCUAGAUUAGGCCUGUACCGACUGAAUGUGUAUCAGCACGCAUGUCCUGUCACACCUCACCGUAUGUGUCCAAAGGUCUGUUAUGACUUGUGCAAUUUCACUCAGUAAGGCUAUUAGGGGGAAAGCAGCUGGAAGAAGGAGUGAAGCAACAUUACUUCUGUAUUGAAAAAAUUAAGGUAGGUACACCUUUCAUUUUUACAGCUUUUGCUCUUAUAUGUUGCAUGUUGUUGUAAAAUGUGAGACAGCUUCAUUGAAUUCACAUAGUUUGACAGAGACACAGAACACUUCAUUUUGAAGGAAAACAGCAAAACUCCCUCUAGCAAUGGAGCCUAAAUAAACGAAUACCAUGGUGUUCUUAAAGGGAUACACACAUGGAUAAACACUCGCCAAAUGAGACAUAAUAAAUAUAGACAUAAUAAAGUUGGCCAAAGUAAUCGGCCAAAACUUUAUCGGAAACUGCAGUAUUACAGCUUGCAUGGACUUCUAGAAAUGUGAUGAAAGCCACAGACAUACAAACCGUCUACUAAAGAAAAGUGUUUGUGAAUUGCAUGACUUCUGUCUUUUAUGUUGUGAUAAGAUAAGUCAAUCCAUGAUGAUCUAUGAUAAAAAAAAAAUAUUUUUCAAGAACUCCAUGUGGUGACACACAUAUGGAAUAUUCUUCAGAUUCAUUAAAUAUAAAGAACAUUUUUCUUAAACACUUCCACAUCAGUGUUAUUUUAAUAUAAAUGAUAUACUACUUUUAGUUUUUUUUUUUCUAUAGCUUUUGUUUUCAUUUUAGUUCAUGUUUUAGUCAUUUUGAUGUGUGUCAUUUUUGCUAGCUUUUUAAUAACUAAAUCUAGUUUUUAUUACUUUGUAUUUCAGUUUUAGUUGUUUUAGUAGGCUACUUGAGGCUACCAAAAUGAGAAAUGUUGCCUUUAAAACACAAUCAAAUAAAAAGUUUUUUUAAAGUAUAUAUUUUAUUAAAAUAUUUAUUUUAAUUCAAGUAACACGUUUUAAUAGGUUUAGUUAGUUGUUGUUAACAAUAAUAACCCUGCCUCCAUUGCUUUAUUUUCAUUUACCCGUUAAUGUUCUGUAAAUAAUUGUUCUUCUCAACCUCAACAAGUGUCUUUUGUUCUCAUUAACAGUGCAGUUUUCAAUCUGUUGUGCCAACUAUGCAAAAUGUCAGUAUGUGACCCUUGUUCUGUUGACCUCCACUAUGGGAAUAUUAAGUAUGGUUUUGUUGUUUAUUAACUCUCUCAACAGUUCUACAAAUCAUCAGUCAACUACACAAUAAUGUGAUACCGUCAGUUUAAAAUAAUAUCGGAUUCAGUGCAGGUUCAUUUGAAUUCAUUAAAAACAAAGGAGAACAUGUUUACAUUAAUGCACUUAAUAGAAGUCAAAUGUAAUUGGUAACUGUCACCGUGCAAUUGAGCUUGAUUUGUACUGGCCACACCUCUAUUUAAAGGGAUAGUUCAACCAAAAAUGAAAAGUACCUCAUGAUUUACUCACCCUCAAGCCAUCCUAGGUGUAUACGACAUUCCUCUUUCAGAUGAAUACAAUCGAAGUUGUAUUAAAUAAUGGUCAGGCUAAUCCAUGAUUUAUAAUGGGAGUGGAUGGUAGCCCAAAAUUUGAAUUCCCAAAAUAUCACACUAUUCAUUAUAAAAUAAGUCCACAUGGCUCUGGGGGGUUAAUAAAGGACUUCUGAAGUGCAGCGAUCUCUCGAGAACGUGCUUACGACAGUUAGCGGAAGCUAGAGAGUAAGGUUUAUAAAGUUGUAAAUAUGGAUAUUUUUCUUACACAAACGCAUCGCUGCGCUUCAGAAAUCCUUUAUUAACCCCCCAGAGCAGUGUGGACUUCCUUUAUAAUGGAUGGGUGGGAUUUUUUGGACUUCAAAUUUUCGGCUACCAUCCACUCCCAUUGUAAGACAUGGAUUAGCCUGGAAUUUUU